rnacentral:misc_RNA from 1 species
GAUGAAGAACGUAGCGAAAUGCGAUAAGUAAUGUGAAUUGCAGAAUUCAGUGAAUCAUCGAAUCUUUGAACGCACAUUGCGCCCCUUGGUAUUCCGAGGGGCAUGCCUGUUCGAGCGUCAUUAUAACCCCUCAAGCUCAGCUUGGUGUUGGGGCCUGCUGCACUGGCAGCCCUUAAAAUCAGUGGCGGCGCCAUCUGGCUCUAAGCGUAGUAAUUCUUCUCGCUAUGGAGUCCUGGUGGAUGCUCGCCAUCAACCCCCAAUUUUUCUAUGGUUGACCUCGGAUCAGGUAGGGAUACCCGCUGAACUUAAGCAUAUCAAUAAGCGGAGGA